CUUAGUGUGUUUGGACCAUUCUAGUUUGUUGUUGUGGUCACCAAGGAAUUUGAAGCUCUCAACCUGCUCCACUGCAGCCCCGUCGAUGAGAAUGGGGGCGUGCUUGGUCCUCCUUUUUCUGUAGUCCACAAUCAUCUCCUUUAUCUUGAUCACAUUGAGGGAAGAGGUUGUUGCUGCUACCAAACACUUAUUAUGCUGUUCAGUUUAGAAUAAAACGUUAUCGUUGAUUCCUGAGAAUGGUCAAAAUAUUUUUUGCCCAAAAAACUGUGGUAAACUAAAUGUGUAAUAAUCUCCAUGAUAUUCUAGAUAAAGGAAACCGUAAUGUUGGUUUAAUCUUUAAUACAACCCAGUACCUUACAGCCAACUCAUCACAGUCAUAUAGUCAUUGAAAGGUAUAGCUAUGGUAGGUAGGUAGGUAGGUAGGUAGGUAGGUAGGUAGGUAGAGAGGUAUAGCUAUGGUAGGUAGGUAGGUAGAGAGAGAGAGAGGUAUAGCUAUGGUAGGUAGAGAGAGAGGUAUAGCUAUGGUAGGUAGGUAGAGAGAGGUGUAGCUAUGGUAGGUAGGUAGAGAGAGGUAUAGCUAUGGUAGGUAGGUAGAGAGAGGUGUAGCUAUGGUAGGUAGGUAGAGAGAGGUAUAGCUAUGGUAGGUAGGUAGAGAGAGGUAUAGCUAUGGUAGGUAUAGAGAGUUGUAGCUGGAGCUAAACUGCAACAUCCUGCUAAUUGACCCAUAAAGGAUCUACAAUAGAAGAAGUGAUGUUAUUGGAGCCAGAAGCAGACAGUCAGCACAGCCAGUCGGCUACAGAUCGGGACAUGCACAGCCAUUUAAUAGUUACAUUUGGUGCAUUAUAACCGUGUUCAAGUGUUAAGGUGAACCCCCCCCAUCCCCCUCACUUUGAACACAACUUCCCCUGUACUGCUGUUUGGAAGCAGGCGGAGACUCAGGGAGCAUUGAGUACACCAGGGCCUGGGUUUUGAAAACCUUAAGAAAUGUUUUGUAAAUCCAGGCACUGCAACUUUGGUAUUAGGUAAGAGAAUGGCACAAGGCUGGCUUGAGCAACGAAAGGAAACGAUGUGCAACAACUAGACAGAGACAUGUCCUGAGAAACAGUGUGUGGGCCAUCCUGCCGACUUCAACACGCAUUGUUAGCUUAGCAGACCUGGGACCAGGCAACCAGAGGCAGACCUGGGACCAGGCAACCAGAGGCAGACCUGGGACCAGGCAACCAGAGGCAGACCUGGGACCAGGC
ensembl:lncRNA